rnacentral:rRNA from 1 species
GCCUACAGCCAUGCCACCCUGAACAAGCCCAAUCCCAUCUGAUCUUGGAAACUAAGCAGGGUCGGGCCUAGUGAGUACUUGGAUGGGAGACCACCUAGGAAGACCAGGUGCUGUAGGUG